AUUGAACGCUGGCGGCAUGCCUUACACAUGCAAGUCGAACGGUAACAGGUCUUCGGAUGCUGACGAGUGGCGAACGGGUGAGUAAUACAUCGGAACGUGCCUAGUAGUGGGGGAUAACUACUCGAAAGAGUGGCUAAUACCGCAUGAGAUAUACGGCUGAAAGCAGGGGAGCGCAAGACCUUGCGCUACUAGAGCGGCCGAUGGCAGAUUAGGUAGUUGGUGGGAUAAAAGCUUACCAAGCCGACGAUCUGUAGCUGGUCUGAGAGGACGAUCAGCCACACUGGGACUGAGACACGGCCCAGACUCCUACGGGAGGCAGCAGUGGGGAAUUUUGGACAAUGGGCGCAAGCCUGAUCCAGCAAUGCCGCGUGCAGGAUGAAGGCCUUCGGGUUGUAAACUGCUUUUGUACGGAACGAAAAGCCCCGGGUUAAUACCCUGGGGUCAUGACGGUACCGUAAGAAUAAGCACCGGCUAACUACGUGCCAGCCGCCGCAGUAA
rnacentral:rRNA from 1 species